rnacentral:rRNA from 1 species
UUGGACCUGAAAUCAGGCAAGAGGACCCGCUGAAUUUAAGCAUAUAACUAAGCGGAGGAAAAGAAACUAACCAGGAUUCCCUCAGUAACGGCGAGUGAAGUGGGAAUAGCUCAACUUGAAAAUCUCUACUCUUUGUGGGUAGCGAAUUGUAGUCUAUAGGGGUAGUCACCAGUGUUCGUGCCGGAAUAAUUCAGGUGGAAUCUUGGACCAUGGAGGGUGAUAGUCCCGUUCUAUGUCUGGAUACGAACGCGUACGGUGCGCUUCCGACGAGUCGUGUUGCUUGGGACUGCAGCACUAACGGGUGGUAAAUUCCAUCCAAAGCUAAAUACUGGCGAGAGACCGAUAGCGAACAAGUACUGUGAAGGAAAGAUGAAAAGAACUUUGAAAAGAGAGUCAAAAAGUACCUGAAAUUGUUAAAAGGAAAGUGUAUGAAACUAGUGUUGCUGUUGGGCAUGUAUGCCCUGUGGCAGGUCACCAUGGCUUGGGUUUGGAGGAGACGGUGCACAGGAAGGUAGGUGUCUGCGGGCAUUGUUAUAGCCUGUGUUGUCCUGCUCUGGACUGGAGUGAGGUUGCUUGGUACCUUUGUGUAUGAUGGGCCCUGCGAAGUAAUGUGUUUUGACUGCAUGCAGUGUUGACGUGUUAUGAGUAGACUCCCUGUCGUAUGCACGUGCCAACGAGAUGGUGACGAAAUGGUUUCCUACAGCCCGUCUUGAAACACGGACCAA